UCCCUGGUGGUCUAGUUGUCCAGGUUCGGUGCUCUCACUGCUGUGUCCCGGGUUCGAUUCCCGGUCAGGGAG
rnacentral:tRNA from 1 species